UGGGGAAUAUUGCACAAUGGGGGAAACCCUGAUGCAGCGACGCCGCGUGAACGAAGAAGGUAUUCGUAUCGUAAAGUUCUGUCCUCUGGGAAGAUAAUGACAGUACCAUAGAAGAAAGCUCCGGCUAAAUACGUGCCAGCAGCCGCGGUAAUACGUAUGGAGCGAGCGUUGUCCGGAAUUUUUGGGCGUAAAGGGUACGCAGGCGGUUUAAUAAGUCGAAUGUUAAAGAUCGGGGCUCAACCCCGUAAAGCAUUGGAAACUGAUAAACUUGAGUAGUGGAGAGGAAAGUGGAAUUCCUAGUGUAGUGGUGAAAUACGUAGAUAUUAGGAGGAAUACCAGUAGCGAAGGCGACGUUCUGGACACAAACUGACGCUGAGGUACGAAAGCGUGGGGAGCAAACAGG
rnacentral:rRNA from 1 species